rnacentral:lncRNA from 1 species
UUCUUCUCCUCUCGUCCCCUUCUUCGGGCUAAAUUGGAUAAGAAUGCCUUUUUGGAGCUAAUUAUGUCAUUUCGAGGAUAAUUAGCUAAGUAUAGGUCAUUUUUUAUUAAAUAGGUCAUUUAGGAGCUAACUAUGCUAAUUAUGUCAUUUAGAUGGAUAAUUAGCCAAUUUAGGCUUUCUUGGAUGAGUCUAAGCUACGUAGAAGAUGAGAAAGAGAAGAAGAAGUAAAAGAAGGAGGAGGAGGAGGAGGAGGAGGAGUAGAAGGAGAAGGAAGAGGAGAAGA